GCAGUGGUCGCAUAGUGGCAAUUGCGCGGCUUUCAAGCGCAAGCUUGCUUAAGAGGCAGACCAGCCGUCCUUACUGGUUCCAGGGUUCGAGUCCCUGUCACUGCA